rnacentral:lncRNA from 1 species
UUCAUGAUCGAAGGUCUUUUCGAGGCCAUCCGAAUUUGAUGCUUUCUCCCGAUGUUCGAGCUUGGGGUCCGAACUUCUCAUUACUUUGAGGAAGUCUAUUUUCUCCUGCUAGUGUCGGGUUCCUCCUUAGAGACUGAGGAUUUUUGACAAGAGUUUUCUUCCUCAUUGAGAUGAGGUCCCUUGUGUCUUAGAUGUGGUUUGUUUUUUCUCUCAUUUCUAGCGUAGCUCAUCGCUUUCCCCUUUUCUCUAAUUCUAUUUUUUUUUAUGUUUGGGUGAGGAUUUUUCCUCUGCUCCUAACAGGGUUCUAGGGAUGUAGAGG